rnacentral:rRNA from 14 species
GGAUUAGAUACCCUGGUAGUCCAUGCCGUAAACGUUGGGCACUAGGUGUGGGGACCAUUCCACGGUUUCCGCGCCGCAGCUAACGCAUUAAGUGCCCCGCCUGGGGAGUACGGCCGCAAGGCUAAAACUCAAAGGAAUUGACGGGGCCCCGCACAAGCGGCGGAGCAUGCGGAUUAAUUCGAUGCAACGCGAAGAACCUUACCAAGGCUUGACAUGUUCUCGAUCGCCGUAGAGAUACGGUUUCCCCUUUGGGGCGGGUUCACAGGUGGUGCAUGGUUGUCGUCAGCUCGUGUCGUGAGAUGUUGGG